CCGCAGUGCCGUAGUUAACACAAUAAGCAAUCCGCCUGGGGAGUACGGUCGCAAGACUGAAACUCAAAGGAAUUGACGGGGGCCCGCACAAGCGGUGGAGUAUGUGGUUUAAUUCGACGCAACGCGAAGAACCUUACCAGGGCUUGACAUCCUCUGAAAGCCAUAGAGAUAUGGACCUUACCCUUCGGGGUAACAGAGAGACAGGUGGUGCAUGGUUGUCGUCAGCUCGUGUCGUGAGAUGUUGGGUUAAGUCCCGCAACGAGCGCAACCCCUAACAUUAGUUGCCAGCGAGUAAGGUCGGGAACUCUAAUGUGACUGCCGUUGACAAAACGGAGGAAGGUGGGGAUGACGUCAAAUCAUCAUGCCCCUUAUGUCCUGGGCUACACACGUACUACAAUGGCCGGUACAGACGGAAGCGAAGCCGUGAGGCGGAGCAAAACUGAGAAAGCCGGUCCCAGUUCGGAUUGUAGUCUGCAACUCGACUACAUGAAGUCGGAAUCGCUAGUAAUCGCAGGUCAGCAUACUGCGGUGAAUACGUUCCCGGGCCUUGUACACACCGCCCGUCACACCACGAAAGCUGACAACACCCGAAGCCGGUGAGCUAACCGAAAGGAGGCAGCCGUCGAAGGUGGGGUUGGUGAUUGGGGUGAAGUCGUAACAAGG
rnacentral:rRNA from 1 species